AUUCAUUGUGCAUCCUUUGCGGGGUCGUCUAACCCCUCCAAGCCAGUUUUGUCAUCUGUAAAGUGAGAAUGUCCAUAUCCUGAUGGGAGGUGGCCUCACUGUGGGAGGAGAUUGAGAAGGGCAGCUCUCAGAACACCUUCACCCCUGAUGGCUCCGGCCUUUCCCCCAGGAACUCCGGGCACAGAAUCUUGCUUCAUACCCCAGAACCUAACAUCCUUCAAGAAUUCCACCAAGUCCUGGGUGGGCUUCUCUGGUGGCCAGCACCAUACAGUCUGCAUGGAUUCGGAAGGAAAAGCAUACAGCCUGGGCCGGGCUGAGUAUGGGCGGCUGGGCCUUGGAGAGGGUGCUGAGGAGAAGAGCAUACCCACCCUCAUCUCCAGGCUGCCUGCUGUCUCCUCAGUGGCUUGUGGGGCCUCUGUGGGGUAUGCUGUGACCAAGGAUGGUCGUGUUUUCGCCUGGGGCAUGGGCACCAACUACCAGCUGGGCACAGGGCAGGAUGAGGACGCCUG
rnacentral:sRNA from 1 species